GGAGCGGUGUCCGAGCGGUUUAAGGAGGCGGUCUUGAAAACCGUUGAACCUGCGAGGGUUCCGGGGGUUCGAAUCCCCCCUGCUCCG
rnacentral:tRNA from 1 species